GUGGGGAAUAUUGGACAAUGGGCGAAAGCCUGAUUCAGCCAUGCCGCGUGUGUGAAGAAGGUCUUCGGAUUGUAAAGCACUUUAAGUUGGGAGGAAGGGUAGUAACCUAAUACGUUGCUACUUUGACGUUACCGACAGAAUAAGCACCGGCUAACUUCGUGCCAGCAGCCGCGGUAAUACGAAGGGUGCAAGCGUUAAUCGGAAUUACUGGGCGUAAAGCGCGCGUAGGUGGUUCAGUAAGUUGGAAGUGAAAUCCCCGGGCUCAACCUGGGAACUGCUUUCAAAACUGCUGAGCUAGAGUACGGUAGAGGGUGGUGGAAUUUCCUGUGUAGCGGUGAAAUGCGUAGAUAUAGGAAGGAACACCAGUGGCGAAGGCGACCACCUGGACUGAUACUGACACUGAGGUGCGAAAGCGUGGGGAGCAAACAGGAUUAGAAACCCUGGUAGUCC
rnacentral:rRNA from 1 species